UUAAGCGACUAAGCGUACACGGUGGAUGCCCUGGCAGUCAGAGGCGAUGAAGGACGUGCUAAUCUGCGAAAAGCGUCGGUAAGGUGAUAUGAACCGUUACAGCCGGCGAUGUCCGAAUGGGGAAACCCAGUGCAAUUCGUUGCACUAUCGUUAACUGAAUACAUAGGUUAACGAGGCGAACCGGGGGAACUGAAACAUCUAAGUACCCCGAGGAAAAGAAAUCAACCGAGAUUCCCCCAGUAGCGGCGAGCGAACGGGGAGCAGCCCAGAGUCUGAAUCAGCUUGUGUGUUAGUGGAACGGUCUGGAAAGUCCGACGGUACAGGGUGAUAGUCCCGUACACCAAAAUGCACAGGCUGUGAACUCGAAGAGUAGGGCGGGACACGUGGUAUCCUGUCUGAAUAUGGGGGGACCAUCCUCCAAGGCUAAAUACUCCUGACUGACCGAUAGUGAACCAGUACCGUGAGGGAAAGGCGAAAAGAACCCCGGCGAGGGGAGUGAAAAAGAACCUGAAACCGUGUACGUACAAGCAGUGGGAGCACCUUCGGGUGUGACUGCGUACCUUUUGUAUAAUGGGUCAGCGACUUAUAUUCUGUAGCAAGGUUAACCGUAUAGGGGAGCCGCAGGGAAACCGAGUCUUAACUGGGCGUUAAGUUGCAGGGUAUAGACCCGAAACCCGGUGAUCUAGCCAUGGGCAGGUUGAAGGUUGGGUAACACUAACUGGAGGACCGAACCGACUAAUGUUGAAAAAUUAGCGGAUGACUUGUGGCUGGGGGUGAAAGGCCAAUCAAACCGGGAGAUAGCUGGUUCUCCCCGAAAGCUAUUUAGGUAGCGCCUCGUGAAUUCAUCUUCGGGGGUAGAGCACUGUUUCGGCUAGGGGGUCAUCCCGACUUACCAACCCGAUGCAAACUACGAAUACCGAAGAAUGUUAUCACGGGAGACACACGGCGGGUGCUAACGUCCGUCGUGAAGAGGGAAACAACCCAGACCGCCAGCUAAGGUCCCAAAGUCAUGGUUAAGUGGGAAACGAUGUGGGAAGGCACAGACAGCCAGGAUGUUGGCUUAGAAGCAGCCAUCAUUUAAAGAAAGCGUAAUAGCUCACUGGUCGAGUCGGCCUGCGCGGAAGAUGUAACGGGGCUAAACCAUGCACCGAAGCUGCGGCAGCGACACUAUGUGUUGUUGGGUAGGGGAGCGUUCUGUAAGCCUGCGAAGGUGUGCUGUGAGGCAUGCUGGAGGUAUCAGAAGUGCGAAUGCUGACAUAAGUAACGAUAAAGCGGGUGAAAAGCCCGCUCGCCGGAAGACCAAGGGUUCCUGUCCAACGUUAAUCGGGGCAGGGUGAGUCGACCCCUAAGGCGAGGCCGAAAGGCGUAGUCGAUGGGAAACAGGUUAAUAUUCCUGUACUUGGUGUUACUGCGAAGGGGGGACGGAGAAGGCUAUGUUAGCCGGGCGACGGUUGUCCCGGUUUAAGCAUGUAGGCUGGUUAUCCAGGCAAAUCCGGAUAAUCAAGGCUGAGGUGUGAUGACGAGGCACUACGGUGCUGAAGUAACAAAUGCCCUGCUUCCAGGAAAAGCCUCUAAGCAUCAGGUAACAUCAAAUCGUACCCCAAACCGACACAGGUGGUCAGGUAGAGAAUACCAAGGCGCUUGAGAGAACUCGGGUGAAGGAACUAGGCAAAAUGGUGCCGUAACUUCGGGAGAAGGCACGCUGGUGUGUAGGUGAAGUCCCUGCGGAUGGAGCUGAGACCAGUCGAAGAUACCAGCUGGCUGCAACUGUUUAUUAAAAACACAGCACUGUGCAAACACGAAAGUGGACGUAUACGGUGUGACGCCUGCCCGGUGCCGGAAGGUUAAUUGAUGGGGUUAUCCGUAAGGAGAAGCUCUUGAUCGAAGCCCCGGUAAACGGCGGCCGUAACUAUAACGGUCCUAAGGUAGCGAAAUUCCUUGUCGGGUAAGUUCCGACCUGCACGAAUGGCGUAAUGAUGGCCAGGCUGUCUCCACCCGAGACUCAGUGAAAUUGAACUCGCUGUGAAGAUGCAGUGUACCCGCGGCAAGACGGAAAGACCCCGUGAACCUUUACUAUAGCUUGACACUGAACAUUGAGCCUUGAUGUGUAGGAUAGGUGGGAGGCUUUGAAGCGUGGACGCCAGUCUGCGUGGAGCCAACCUUGAAAUACCACCCUUUAAUGUUUGAUGUUCUAACGUUGGCCCCUUACCGGGGUUGCGGACAGUGUCUGGUGGGUAGUUUGACUGGGGCGGUCUCCUCCCAAAGCGUAACGGAGGAGCACGAAGGUUAGCUAAUCCUGGUCGGACAUCAGGAGGUUAGUGCAAUGGCAUAAGCUAGCUUGACUGCGAGCGUGACGGCGCGAGCAGGUGCGAAAGCAGGUCAUAGUGAUCCGGUGGUUCUGAAUGGAAGGGCCAUCGCUCAACGGAUAAAAGGUACUCCGGGGAUAACAGGCUGAUACCGCCCAAGAGUUCAUAUCGACGGCGGUGUUUGGCACCUCGAUGUCGGCUCAUCACAUCCUGGGGCUGAAGUAGGUCCCAAGGGUAUGGCUGUUCGCCAUUUAAAGUGGUACGCGAGCUGGGUUUAGAACGUCGUGAGACAGUUCGGUCCCUAUCUGCCGUGGGCGCUGGAGAAUUGAGGGGGGCUGCUCCUAGUACGAGAGGACCGGAGUGGACGCAUCACUGGUGUUCGGGUUGUCAUGCCAAUGGCACUGCCCGGUAGCUAAAUGCGGAAGAGAUAAGUGCUGAAAGCAUCUAAGCACGAAACUUGCCCCGAGAUGAGUUCUCCCUGAGACUUUAAGUCUCCUGAAGGAACGUUAAAGACGAUGACGUUGAUAGGCCGGGUGUGUAAGCGCAGCGAUGCGUUGAGCUAACCGGUACUAAUGAACCGUGAGGCUUAACCUU
rnacentral:rRNA from 1 species